AGAAGGAGAGUCCUUCGUGGUAACCCCAAACUAGUGAUGGGAAUUAAACCCACACUGUCAGUGUCAUUCAGUUCUGCAAACCAAUGAUCCAGCCAAACCAUGUAGUAUAUUAACAUAUUCAAUUAUCAUAGUUUUGAAGGUAAUUUUAUUUGAUAUUGUAUUUUUGAUUGUAGACUGGGGAAUGGACUGCUUUCGAAUCCAAGGAUUGUGGAAGUGCCUGCUGCAUUAUUUUUAAAAAGGAAGUUACCAACAAUCAUUGCUCAUUGCAACUGUCCUCAAUGGAUCCAAGCACAGAGGCUGCUCCCAUCACUGUACAUCUGCACCAAUAGCACCCAAAGGAGUGCAUGAGGAACACAUCUGACUGGAAGCUCAAGAUCAGCAUCAACCUCCAGUGAAUGUGAAGCAACUUCCAAAUGCAGACUUCCCAGCAAAAGGUGCUCUCAUGACACAGUGAAAAUUUGAGAGACCCCCCAGUUGUUUGACUUCCACACAAUGCUACAUGAAUGAGAAAGUGGAAGAUCAUUUCAAUUGGAGAGUUGUUACUAUCCUCCCUCAGGCAAUCAUCUUAAUAAGUAUUGAUUUCUGGAGGCAACCCACUUUCUGACAAACCAAUAAAAACAAACUAGCUGAAUACAUUAAUGUUUGGAAUGAUGGACCAUACUACUGCUGAAUUCAUUACAUUUCAAAGAACAAAUGGAUCUACUUUGAAAUGUUUCAUGUCCUGUACCUUGGAGAAGAGAUUCAACUUGGUUAUGAUAAUGUCAGCACAGUCUAGGCUGAUUUGGUGGCAGAUCUGGGGAUUAUCAACAUAAGUGACACCUAACUGUAUGUAACCAUCUUUACAUUCACAUCUUAUACACUGGGUCACAC